GUCCCAGAAGCGCAAUGGAUAGCCCCUUGGACUUCUAAUCCAAAGGUCAUGGGUUGGAAUCCCACGUGGGAUG